GACGAACCGUCCGAACGUUAUUCGGAAUCACUGGGCUUACAGAGUUCGUAGGCGGUCCGGCAAGUUAGAUGUGAAAUCCCUUGGCUUAACCAAGGAACUGCGUUUGAAACUGCCGGACUCGAGGGAGAUAGAGGAAAGCGGAACUGAUGGUGGAGCGGUGAAAUGCGUUGAUAUCAUCAGGAACACCGUGGCGAAGGCGGCUUCUGGGUCUCUUCUGACGCUGAGGAACGAAAGCUAGGGAGCGAA
rnacentral:rRNA from 1 species